rnacentral:rRNA from 1 species
GUGAACCUGCGGCAAGGCUCAUUG